rnacentral:rRNA from 1 species
AUACGGAGGGCGCGAGCGUUGUUCGGAAUCACUGGGCGUAAAGCGGGUGUAGGCGGCCUGUCAAGUCAGAUGUGAAAGCCCACGGCUCAACCGUGGAAGUGCAUCUGAAACUGGCAGGCUUGAGUACCGGAGAGGGAAGUGGAAUUCCUGGUGUAGGGGUGAAAUCCGUAGAUAUCAGGAGGAACACCGGUGGCGAAGGCGACUUCCUGGACGGAUACUGACGCUGAGACCCGAAAGCGUGGGGAGCAAACAGGAUUAGAAACCCUAGUAGUCC